CACUGGCAAAGGAGGCACUUUGGGUUUGCAGCCGAUAAAAUUGAAAUCCCAGCUCUUACCACAUCCCUUUGCUCACCUUUCCCCCCGUUCCUGAUUAGCCAAAUAUCACUGAUACGGGAAAUACCUGCCUGUUGCUCUCCUCCCUGGCCUGCAGGACACAGGAGGUGUUGAAACAGCUGGUUCAGGACACAAAAGAUCCAAUCUGCCUUAAACCUCUGGAAUGCAGGCACUGAGGGCUCCCACAGUCGGGAUGGCCACGGGCUUGGCCCUGUUGGUGACACACGUGCAGUGAGGAGAGACCCCGAAAAGGGACUCGGAUGUACUUCAGCAAUGACGCAAAGACACGUGGGUGCUUGGGAGUUCAAAAGGCUGAACUGGAGGCUGUCCUGCACCUGGCAG